rnacentral:rRNA from 1 species
AGAGUUUGAUCCUGGCUCAGGAUGAACGCUAGCUACAGGCUUAACACAUGCAAGUCGAGGGGCAGCAUGGUCUUAGCUUGCUAAGGCCGAUGGCGACCGGCGCACGGGUGAGUAACACGUAUCCAACCUGCCGUCUACUCUUGGCCAGCCUUCUGAAAGGAAGAUUAAUCCAGGAUGGGAUCAUGAGUUCACAUGUCCGCAUGAUUAAAGGUAUUUUCCGGUAGACGAUGGGGAUGCGUUCCAUUAGAUAGUAGGCGGGGUAACGGCCCACCUAGUCAACGAUGGAUAGGGGUUCUGAGAGGAAGGUCCCCCACAUUGGAACUGAGACACGGUCCAAACUCCUACGGGAGGCAGCAGUGAGGAAUAUUGGUCAAUGGGCGAUGGCCUGAACCAGCCAAGUAGCGUGAAGGAUGACUGCCCUAUGGGUUGUAAACUUCUUUUAUAAAGGAAUAAAGUCGGGUAUGCAUACCCGUUUGCAUGUACUUUAUGAAUAAGGAUCGGCUAACUCCGUGCCAGCAGCCGCGGUAAUACGGAGGAUCCGAGCGUUAUCCGGAUUUAUUGGGUUUAAAGGGAGCGUAGAUGGAUGUUUAAGUCAGUUGUGAAAGUUUGCGGCUCAACCGUAAAAUUGCAGUUGAUACUGGAUAUCUUGAGUGCAGUUGAGGCAGGCGGAAUUCGUGGUGUAGCGGUGAAAUGCUUAGAUAUCACGAAGAACUCCGAUUGCGAAGGCAGCCUGCUAAGCUGCAACUGACAUUGAGGCUCGAAAGUGUGGGUAUCAAACAGGAUUAGAUACCCUGGUAGUCCACACGGUAAACGAUGAAUACUCGCUGUUUGCGAUAUACAGCAAGCGGCCAAGCGAAAGCGUUAAGUAUUCCACCUGGGGAGUACGCCGGCAACGGUGAAACUCAAAGGAAUUGACGG